AACGAACGCUGGCGGCAUGCCUAACACAUGCAAGUCGAACGAGAUCUUCGGAUCUAGUGACGCACGGGUGCGUAACGCGUGGGAAUCUGCCCUUGGGUUCGGAAUAACUUCUGGAAACGGAAGCUAAUACCGGAUGAUGACGUAAGUCCAAAGAUUUAUCGCCCAGGGAUGAGCCCGCGUAGGAUUAGCUAGUUGGUGAGGUAAAGGCUCACCAAGGCGACGAUCCUUAGCUGGUCUGAGAGGAUGAUCAGCCACACUGGGACUGAGACACGGCCCAGACUCCUACGUGAGGCAGCAGUGGGGAAUAUUGGACAAUGGGCGAAAGCCUGAUCCAGCAAUGCCGCGUGAGUGAUGAAGGCCUUAGGGUUGUAAAGCUCUUUUACCCGGGAUGAUAAUGACAGUACCGGGAGAAUAAGCUCCGGCUAACUCCGUGCCAGCAGCCGCGGUAACAC
rnacentral:rRNA from 1 species